rnacentral:rRNA from 1 species
UGGGGAAUAUUGGACAAUGGGCGCAAGCCUGAUCCAGCAAUGCCGCGUGAGUGAUGAAGGCCUUCGGGUUGUAAAGCUCUUUCGCACGCGACGAUGAUGACGGUAGCGUGAGAAGAAGCCCCGGCUAACUUCGUGCCAGCAGCCGCGGUAAUACGAAGGGGGCUAGCGUUGUUCGGAAUUACUGGGCGUAAAGGGCGCGUAGGCGGUGUGUCAAGUCAGGCGUGAAAGCCCCGGGCUCAACCUGGGAACCGCGCUUGAGACUGGCACGCUAGAGUUCGGGAGAGGAUGGUGGAAUUCCCAGUGUAAAGGUGAAAUUCGUAGAUAUUGGGAAGAACACCGAUGGCGAAGGCAGCCAUCUGGACCGACACUGACGCUGAGGCGCGAAAGCGUGGGGAGCAAACAGGAUUAGAUACCCUGGUAGUCCACGCCGUAAACGAUGAGUGCUAGACGUCGGGGUCCCUAGGGCUUCGGUGUCGCAGCUAACGCGUUAAG